rnacentral:rRNA from 1 species
GACGAACGCUGGCGGCGUGCCUAAUACAUGCAAGUAGAACGCUGAAGAGAGGAGCUUGCUCUUCUUGGAUGAGUUGCGAACGGGUGAGUAACGCGUAGGUAACCUGCCUUGUAGCGGGGGAUAACUAUUGGAAACGAUAGCUAAUACCGCAUAACAAUAGGUGACACAUGUCCUUUAUUUGAAAGGGGCAAUUGCUCCACUACAAGAUGGACCUGCGUUGUAUUAGCUAGUAGGUGAGGUAACGGCUCACCUAGGCGACGAUACAUAGCCGACCUGAGAGGGUGAUCGGCCACACUGGGACUGAGACACGGCCCAGACUCCUACGGGAGGCAGCAGUAGGGAAUCUUCGGCAAUGGGGGCAACCCUGACCGAGCAACGCCGCGUGAGUGAAGAAGGUUGUCGGAUCGUAAAGCUCUGUUGUAAGUCAAGAACGAGUGUGAGAGUGGAAAGUUCACACUGUGACGGUAGCUUACCAGAAAGGGACGGCUAACUACGUG